UCGCAUGUGGUCUAGAGGUUGAGAUUUUUGGUUUUCAUCCACGCGGCUCGGGUUCGAUUCCCGGCAGGGGAA